AGCGGUGGAUGAUGUGGAUUAAUUCGAUGCAACGCGAAAAACCUUACCUACGCUUGACAUGUCCGAGAUCCCUGAGAGAUUGGGGAGUGCUCGAAAGAGAAUCGGAACACAGGUGCUGCAUGGCUGUCGUCAGCUCGUGUCGUGAGAUGUUGGGUUAAGUCCCGCAACGAGCGCAACCCUUGUCAUUAGUUGCUACAUUUAGUUGGGCACUCUAAUGAGACUGCCGGUGACAAACCGGAGGAAGGUGAGGAUGACGUCAAGUCCUCAUGGCCCUUAUGCGUAGGGCUUCACACGUCAUACAAUGGUCGGUACAGAGGGUCGCUAACCCGCGAGGGGGUGCCAAUCUCACAAAGCCGAUCGUAGUCCGGAUCGCAGUCUGCAACUCGACUGCGUGAAGUCGGAAUCGCUAGUAAUCGCGGAUCAGCAUGUCGCGGUGAAUACGUUCCCGGGCCUUGUACACACCGCCCGUCACACCAUGGGAGCGGUUUUACCAAGAAGUAGCU
rnacentral:rRNA from 1 species